rnacentral:rRNA from 1 species
AGCUCCAAUAGCGUAUAUUAUAGUUGUUGCAGUUAAAAAGCUCGUAGUUGGACUUCUGAUGUUGGGAUUCGGUCCACCGCAAGGUGAGCACUGAUGUUCUGAUGUCUUCCUCUCGUAGUUGUUUGGCGCACUUGAUUGGGUGCCGAAUGAAUAUGGGACCUUUACUUUGAAAAAAUUAGAGUGUUCAAAGCAGGCGAUCGCUUGAAUACAUUAGCAUGGAAUAAUAGAAUAGGACUUUGGUUCUAUUUUGUUGGUUUCUAGGACCGAAGUAAUGAUUAAUAGGGACAGUUGGGGGCAUUAGUAUUUAAUUGUCAGAGGUGAAAUUCUUGGAUUUAUGAAAGACUAACUACUGCGAAAGCAUUUGCCAAGGAUGUUUUCA